UGUGUGUGUGUCUGUGUGUGUGUGUGUGUUCGGACGGAGAGGAGUGUGUGUGUGUGUUCGGACGGAAGAGGGCAGGAGAAUUCAAUGCGUUAUGCACUGUUAGCAUGCUUCAGUUUUAUUUGCAUUUUAUUUUUUCCAUUGUAAGUGUAAUUUUGACCAUGUACAGUUCAAUUUGUAAACUUGCAUCAAGUUUAUGAAUAAAGAAUUUUAAGAAAUGCA